rnacentral:rRNA from 1 species
GAUGAACGCUGGCGGCAUGCCUAACACAUGCAAGUCGAUCGGUAAGGCUCUUCGGAGUACACGAGAGGCGGACGGCUGAGUAACGCGUAGGAACACACCCUGCAGUGAGGGAUAAGACACCGAAAGGUGUUCUAAUACCGCAUACGGUCUUCGGAUUAAAGCAUUUAUGCGCUGAAGGAGUGGCCUGCGUCAUAUUAGAUAGUUGGUGAGGUAAUGGCUCACCAAGUCGAUGAUGUGUAGCUGGUCUGAGAGGAUGAUCAGCCAGACUGGAACUGAGACACGGUCCAGACUCCUACGGGAGGCAGCAGUGAGGAAUAUUUCACAAUGAGCGAAAGCUUGAUGGAGCAAUGCCGCGUGCAGGAUGAAGGCCCUCGGGUUGUAAACUGCUUUUAUAAGAGAAGACUAUGACGGUAACUUAUGAAUAAGGGACGGCUAACUACGUG